rnacentral:rRNA from 1 species
CACGUAGGGGGCAAGCGUUGUUCGGAAUUACUGGGCGUAAAGGGCAUGUAGGCGGCUUUGUAAGCCUGGCGUGAAAGUCCACAGCUUAACUGUGGGAUUGCGUUGGGAACUGUGAGGCUUGAGUCACGGAGAGGGAGCUAGAAUUCCUGGUGUAGGGGUGAAAUCUGUAGAGAUCAGGAAGAAUACCAAUGGCGAAGGCAAGCUCCUGGCCGAUGACUGACGCUGAGGUGCGAAAGUGUGGGGAUCAAACAGG